GUGGGGUGAUGGCCUACCAAGGCGACUACGGGUAGCCGGCCUGAUAGGGUGACCGGCCACACUGGGACUGAGACACGGCCCAGACUCCUACGGGAGGCAGCAGUGGGGAAUAUUGCACAAUGGGCGCAAGCCUGAUGCAGCGACGCCGCGUGAGGGAUGAAGGCCUUCGGGUUGUAAACCUCUUUCAGUAGGGAAGAAGCGAAAGUGACGGUACCUGCAGAAGAAGCGCCGGCUAACUACGUGCCAGCAGCCGCGGUAAUACGUAGGGCGCAAGCGUUAUCCGGAAUUAUUGGGCGUAAAGAGCUCGUAGGCGGUUUGUCGCGUCUGCCGUGAAAGUCCGGGGCUUAACUCCGGAUCUGCGGUGGGUACGGGCAGACUAGAGUGCAGUAGGGGAGACUGGAAUUCCUGGUGUAGCGGUGAAAUGCGCAGAUAUCAGGAGGAACACCGAUGGCGAAGGCAGGUCUCUGGGCUGUAACUGACGCUGAGGAGCGAAAGCAUGGGGAGCGAACAGGAUUAGAUACCCUGGUAGUCCAUGCCGUAAACGUUGGGCACUAGGUGUGGGGGACAUUCCACGUUUUCCGCGCCGUAGCUAACGCAUUAAGUGCCCCGCCUGGGGAGUACGGCCGCAAGGCUAAAACUCAAAGGAAUUGACGGGGGCCCGCACAAGCGGCGGAGCAUGCGGAUUAAUUCGAUGCAACGCGAAGAACCUUACCAAGGCUUGACAUGAACCGGAAUGAUGCAGAGAUGUGUCAGCCACUUGUGGCCGGUUUACAGGUGGUGCAUGGUUGUCGUCAGCUCGUGUCGUGAGAUGUUGGGUUAACUCGGGCGGANUGGGCAACCCUCGUUACAUGUUGCCAGCGGGUUAUGCCGGGGACUCAUGGGAGACUGCCGGGGUCAACUCGGAGGAAGGUGGGGACGACGUCAAAUCAUCAUGCCCCUUAUGUCUUGGGCUUCACGCAUGCUACAAUGGCCGGUACAGAGGGUUGCGAUACUGUGAGGUGG
rnacentral:rRNA from 1 species